rnacentral:rRNA from 1 species
CCUACGGGCGGCAGCAGUGAGGAAUAUUGGUCAAUGGACGAGAGUCUGAACCAGCCAAGUAGCGUGAAGGAUGACUGCCCUAUGGGUUGUAAACUUCUUUUAUAUGGGAAUAAAACGUUCCACGUGUGGGAUUUUGUAUGUACCAUAUGAAUAAGGAUCGGCUAACUCCGUGCCAGCAGCCGCGGUAAUACGGAGGAUCCGAGCGUUAUCCGGAUUUAUUGGGUUUAAAGGGAGCGUAGGUAGAUUGUUAAGUCAGUUGUGAAAGUUUGCGGCUCAACCGUAAAAUUGCAGUUGAAACUGGCAGUCUUGAGUACAGUAGAGGUGGGCGGAAUUCGUGGUGUAGCGGUGAAAUGCUUAGAUAUCACGAAGAACUCCGAUUGCGAAGGCAGUUCACUGGACUGCAACUGACACUGAGGCUCGAAAGUGUGGGUAUCAAACAGGAUUAGAUACCCUUGUAGUC